UCUAUAGGGGAGCCCGGGGCAUUAUAGGCAUCCGGGGCAUUAUGAGCACGAAACCUCCUCCCCCCGCCAGCCCGCGAACGCCGUAAGCGAAUGCCUAGACGGGCGACAGUUGGCCUUGCGACCGCGCGGUGAGUGGUUAUGUCGUCGUGCGUACGCGUCUCUCGGAGCCAGCAACAUAUUUACAGUCAGACAUGGUUAGGAACUAUAAAAGAUCAACUAACCGCGGCGGUUGGGACAUUAAAAAAAUGGAGUUAGCCAUCAAUCUUUUGAUGUUAUAACACCGAAUAACAUCUUGCCGGUUCCCAAAGCAUGUGGACAAAAGAGAGUUAGUAGAAAGCGUGGUAAGACUGCUGUUAUUACAAGUUCACCUUAUAAAAUUGAACUAGAACAAGCAAAACCCCAAAAUAAGAUAGCAAAGAAAGCAAAGAAA